rnacentral:rRNA from 1 species
UACGAAGGGGGCUAGCGUUGCUCGGAAUCACUGGGCGUAAAGGGUGCGUAGGCGGGUCUUUAAGUCAGGGGUGAAAUCCUGGAGCUCAACUCCAGAACUGCCUUUGAUACUGAAGAUCUUGAGUUCGGGAGAGGUGAGUGGAACUGCGAGUGUAGAGGUGAAAUUCGUAGAUAUUCGCAAGAACACCAGUGGCGAAGGCGGCUCACUAGCCCGAUACUGACGCUGAGGCCCGAAAGCGUGGGGAGCAAACAGG